rnacentral:rRNA from 1 species
GACGAACGCUGGCGGCGUGCUUAACACAUGCAAGUCGAACGGUAAGGCUCCAGCUUGCUGGGGUACACGAGUGGCGAACGGGUGAGUAACACGUGGGUGACCUGCCCUGCACUUCGGGAUAAGCCUGGGAAACUGGGUCUAAUACCGGAUAGGACCGCACCGUGAGGGUGUGGUGGAAAGUUUUUUCGGUGUGGGAUGGGCCCGCGGCCUAUCAGCUUGUUGGUGGGGUAAUGGCCUACCAAGGCGGCGACGGGUAGCCGGCCUGAGAGGGUGGACGGCCACAUUGGGACUGAGACACGGCCCAGACUCCUACGGGAGGCAGCAGUGGGGAAUAUUGCACAAUGGGCGGAAGCCUGAUGCAGCGACGCCGCGUGGGGGAUGACGGCCUUCGGGUUGUAAACUCCUUUCACCAUCGACGAAGGGUUUCUGACGGUAGAUGGAGAAGAAGCACCGGCUAACUACGUGCCAGCCGCCGCCGUAACAC